GAGUUUGAUCCUGGCUCAGAACGAACGUUGGCGGCGUGGAUUAGGCAUGCAAGUCGAACGCGAAAGUUUCCUUCGGGGGGCGAGUAGAGUGGCGAACGGGUGAGUAAUGCGUAGAUGACCUACCCAGAUGAUCGGGACAACCACUCGAAAGGGUGGCUAAUACCGGAUGUGGUCGGAUUCCUGCGGGUUUCCUACGAAAGAUGGCCUCUGACUCAAGCUGUCGCAUUUGGAGGGGUUUACGUGCUAUUAGCUUGUUGGUGGGGUAACGGCCUACCAAGGCGAUGAUGGCUAGCCGGCCUGAGAGGGUGUCCGGCCACACUGGGACUGAGACACUGCCCAGACUCCUACGGGAGGCUGCAGUCGAGAAUCUUCCACCAAUGCGCGAAAGCGUGAUGGAGCAACGCCGCGUGUGCGAUGAAGGCUUUCGGGUUGUAAAGCACUGUUGGAAGGGCGUAAUUGCCAUCGGUUAAUACCCGUGUGGUUUGAACUCCCUUCGGAGGAAGCACCGGCUAAAUUCGUGCCAGCAGCCGCGGUAAUACGAAUGGUGCAAACGUUGUUCGGAAUCACUGGGCAUAAAGAGCACGUAGGCGGUCCAGUCAGUCAGCUGUGAAAUCCCUCGGCUCAACCGAGGAACUGCAGCUGAUACUGCUGGCCUAGAGUACGGGAGGGGAGAGCGGAAUUUCCUGGUGGAGCGGUGAUAUGCGUAUAUAUCAAGAGGAACGCCGGAGGCGAAAGCGGCUCUCUGGUCCGUUACUGACGCUGAGGUGCGAAAGCUAGGGGAGCAAACAGGAUUAGAUACCCUGGUAGUCCUAGCUGUAAACGAUGGGCACUAAGUAGGGGGACUCCCAAGGUCUCCCUGCCGGAGCUAAUGUGUUAAGUGCCCCGCCUGGGAAGUACGGUCGCAAGGCUGAAACUCAAAGGAAUUGACGGGGGCUCACACAAGCGGUGGAGCAUGUUGUUUAAUUCGACGCAACGCGAAGAACCUUACCUGGGCUUGACAUUCAAGUGGUACCAAACCGAAAGGGGCGGGACCGUCUUUUGGCGGAGCUUGAACAGGUAUUGCAUGGCUGUCGUCAGCUCGUGUCGUGAGAUGUUGGGUUAAGUCCCGUAACGAGCGCAACCCUUGUCCUUAGUUGCCAGCGGAUCAUGCCGGGGACUCUAGGGAGACUGCCGGUGUUAAACCGGAGGAAGGCGGGGAUGACGUCAAGUCAUCAUGGUCCUUACGCCCAGGGCUACAAACGUGCUACAAUGGUCGGUACAAAGAGACGCUAGACCGCGAGGUCACGCAAAUCUCAAAAAGCCGGCCCCAGUUCGGAUUGGAGGCUGCAAUUCGCCUCCAUGAAGUCGGAAUCGCUAGUAAUCGCAGAUCAGCUACGCUGCGGUGAAUAUGUUCCUGAGCCUUGUACACACCGCCCGUCAAGCCACCCAAAUAGGCAGCACCCGAAGUCGCAGACCCAACCUUAGGGAGGGAUGCGCCGAAGGUGAGGUUUGUGAGGGGGACUAAGUCGUAACAAGGUAGC
rnacentral:rRNA from 1 species